rnacentral:rRNA from 1 species
CUCGUUGAUGAUCGGUGCUUGCACCGAGAUUCAACAUGGAACGAGUGGCGGACGGGUGAGUAACACGUGGGUAACCUGCCCUUAAGUGGGGGAUAACAUUUGGAAACAGAUGCUAAUACCGCAUAGAUCCAAGAACCGCAUGGUUCUUGGCUGAAAGAUGGCGUAAGCUAUCGCUUUUGGAUGGACCCGCGGCGUAUUAGCUAGUUGGUGAGGUAAUGGCUCACCAAGGCGAUGAUACGUAGCCGAACUGAGAGGUUGAUCGGCCACAUUGGGACUGAGACACGGCCCAAACUCCUACGGGAGGCAGCAGUAGGGAAUCUUCCACAAUGGACGCAAGUCUGAUGGAGCAACGCCGCGUGAGUGAAGAAGGCUUUCGGGUCGUAAAACUCUGUUGUUGGAGAAGAAUGGUCGGCAGAGUAACUGUUGUCGGCGUGACGGUAUCCAACCAGAAAGCCACGGCUAACUACGUGCCAGCAGCCGCGGUAAUACGUAGGUGGCAAGCGUUAUCCGGAUUUAUUGGGCGUAAAGCGAGCGCAGGCGGUUUUUUAAGUCUGAUGUGAAAGCCCUCGGCUUAACCGAGGAAGCGCAUCGGAAACUGGGAAACUUGAGUGCAGAAGAGGACAGUGGAACUCCAUGUGUAGCGGUGAAAUGCGUAGAUAUAUGGAAGAACACCAGUGGCGAAGGCGGCUGUCUGGUCUGUAACUGACGCUGAGGCUCGAAAGCAUGGGUAGCGAACAGGAUUAGAUACCCUGG